rnacentral:lncRNA from 1 species
CACGAGCGAAUUUCUUUGCAAAAGAGAGUGAUUUGAGGAUGGCGGUAGUUGAGAGAAAAGAGAUGAUCUUGUUCAUUUAUAAGGAAUCACUCCUCAAUUUUGAGGAAACUAACCCACCCCUCCCUAGUUUGGCUAAGUCUUUGUUGCAGGAAUUCGACGAUAUAUUUUCGGAGGAUGCACCAAGUGGAUUGCCGUCUAUUCGAGGCAUUGAACAUCAAAUUGACUUCAUACCCGGAGCUGUCAUUCCAAAUCGACCGGCUUAUCGAAAUAAUCCCAACGAGACUAAGGAGUUUCAAAGGCAAGUGGAAGAGUUGAUGAGUAAAGGAUACGUGAGGGAAAGCAUGAGUCCUUGUGCGGUACCGGUUUUACUUGUACCAAAAAAGGAUGGAACAUGGCGAAUGUGCGUGAAUUGUAGGGCUAUCAACAACAUAACGGUAAAGUAUCGUCACCCUAUACCUAGGUUAGAUGACAUGUUUGAUGAAUUACAUGGUUCUUGCAUAUUUUCUAAAAUUGAUUUAAAAAGCGGGUAUCAUCAAAUUCGUAUGCGGGAGGGUGAUGAAUGGAAAACGGCUUUUAAAACUAAAUAUGAUUUAUAUGAAUGGUUGGUUAUGCCGUUUGGACUCACAAAUGCACCUAACACUUUUAUGCGUUUAAUGAAUCAUGUUUUACGUGCUUUUAUAGAAAAAUUUGUUGUGGUUUAUUUUGACGACAUAUUAAUCUAUAGCAAAGACCUAGGAGAGCAUUUGGAACAUUUAAAAUGUGUGCUAAUUAUUUUAAGGAAAGAACAACUCUAUGCUAAUCUUAAAAAAUGUACAUUUUGUAUGAAUAGAGUUAUAUUUCUUGGAUUUGUGGUUAGUGCUAGUGGGGUAGAAGUAGACGAUGAAAAGAUAAAAGCUAUUAGAGAUUGGCCGACACCUAAAAGCAUAAUGAAAGUUAGGAGUUUUCAUGGUUUGGCUAGUUUUUAUAGGCGAUUUGUAAAGGAUUUUAGCACUAUCACUGCACCACUCACGGAAGUAGUUAAAAAGAGUGUAGGUUUUCAUUGGGGUGAUGAAUAAGAACUUGCAUUUAAUACUAUUAAAGGUAGAUUGUGUGAAGCACCUAUUUUGGCAUUACCUAACUUUGAUAAAACAUUCGAGAUUGAGUGUGAUGCAUCAGGAAUAGGGAUUGGAGCAGAUUUAAUGCAGGAUCGGAGGCUUAUUGCAUACUUUAGCGAGAAAUUGAGUAGAGCUGCUUUAAAUUAUCCUACAUAUGACAAAGAACUAUAUGCACUUGUUCGAGCUUUGGAGACUUG